rnacentral:rRNA from 1 species
GACGUAGGGCGCGAGCGUGUCCGGAUUUAUUGGGCGUAAAGAGCUCGUAGGCGGCUUGUCGCGUCGAAUGUGAAAACCCACGGCUCAACUGUGGGCUUGCAUUCGAUACGGGCAGGCUGGAGUUCGGUAGGGGAGACGUGGAAUUCCUGGUGUAGCGGUGAAAUGACGCAGAUAUCAGGAGGAACACCGGUGGCGAAGGCGGGUCUCUGGGCCGAAACUGACGCUGGAGGAGCGAAAGCGUGGGGAGCGAACAGG